rnacentral:lncRNA from 1 species
GGAGGGGAAAAUGUGGAAGAGACCAAGACUCCAUCACAACCUAUGAAAAUAGAUGAGGACCUCAGCAGGCAGACGAUGGAUGAUAAAAAGCUAAGCUUUGACAGUCCUCAACCGGAUGAAGCGAGAGUUUGGAGCCACUGUAUUCCAUUGUAUGCACCACACAUGCCAUGCUUGUGGCACAAGCCUGGGAUCCCAGCUCCCAGAGGAGACAGGAGAUCCGAUGUCCAAGGUUUCAAGGUUAUCUUCAAAUACUUAAGAGAGUUUAGGUCAGCCUGUGACACAUAGAGCCCUGCCCUUGAAUAAAUGUCCUUAUUCCAUUGUAUAAAA